AGAGUUUGAUCCUGGCUCAGGAUGAACGCUAGCUACAGGCUUAACACAUGCAAGUCGAGGGGCAGCAUGGUCUUAGCUUGCUAAGGCCGAUGGCGACCGGCGCACGGGUGAGUAACACGUAUCCAACCUGCCGUCUACUCUUGGACAGCCUUCUGAAAGGAAGAUUAAUACAAGAUGGCAUCAUGAGUCCACAUGUUCACAUGAUUAAAGGUAUUCCGGUAGACGAUGGGGAUGCGUUCCAUUAGAUAGUAGGCGGGGUAACGGCCCACCUAGUCUUCGAUGGAUAGGGGUUCUGAGAGGAAGGUCCCCCACAUUGGAACUGAGACACGGUCCAAACUCCUACGGGAGGCAGCAGUGAGGAAUAUUGGUCAAUGGGCGAGAGCCUGAACCAGCCAAGUAGCGUGAAGGAUGACUGCCCUAUGGGUUGUAAACUUCUUUUAUAAAGGAAUAAAGUCGGGUAUGCAUACCCGUUUGCAUGUACUUUAUGAAUAAGGAUCGGCUAACUCCGUGCCAGCAGCCGCGGUAAUACGGAGGAUCCGAGCGUUAUCCGGAUUUAUUGGGUUUAAAGGGAGCGUAGAUGGAUGUUUAAGUCAGUUGUGAAAGUUUGCGGCUCAACCGUAAAAUUGCAGUUGAUACUGGAUAUCUUGAGUGCAGUUGAGGCAGGCGGAAUUCGUGGUGUAGCGGUGAAAUACUUAGAUAUCACGAAGAACUCCGAUUGCGAAGGCAGCCUGCUAAGCUGCAACUGACAUUGAGGCUCGAAAGUGUGGGUAUCAAACAGGAUUAGAUACCCUGGUAGUCCACACGGUAAACGAUGAAUACUCGCUGUUUGCGAUAUACUGCAAGCGGCCAAGCGAAAGCGUUAAGUAUUCCACCUGGGGAGUACGCCGGCAACGGUGAAACUCAAAGGAAUUGACGGGGGCCCGCACAAGCGGAGGAACAUGUGGUUUAAUUCGAUGAUACGCGAGGAACCUUACCCGGGCUUAAAUUGCAGAUGAAUUACGGUGAAAGCCGUAAGCCGCAAGGCAUCUGUGAAGGUGCUGCAUGGUUGUCGUCAGCUCGUGCCGUGAGGUGUCGGCUUAAGUGCCAUAACGAGCGCAACCCUUGUUGUCAGUUACUAACAGGUUCUGCUGAGGACUCUGACAAGACUGCCAUCGUAAGAUGUGAGGAAGGUGGGGAUGACGUCAAAUCAGCACGGCCCUUACGCCCGGGGCUACACACGUGUUACAAUGGGGGGUACAGAGGGCCGCUACCACGCGAGUGGAUGCCAAUCCCAAAAACCUCUCUCAGUUCGGACUGGAGUCUGCAACCCGACUCCACGAAGCUGGAUUCGCUAGUAAUCGCGCAUCAGCCACGGCGCGGUGAAUACGUUCCCGGGCCUUGUACACACCGCCCGUCAAGCCAUGGGAGCCGGGGGUACCUGAAGUGCGUAACCGCGAGGAGCGCCCUAGGGUAAAACUGGUGACUGGGGCUAAGUCGUAACAAGGUA
rnacentral:rRNA from 1 species